rnacentral:misc_RNA from 1 species
GAUGAAGAACGUAGCGAAAUGCGAUAAGUAAUGUGAAUUGCAGAAUUCAGUGAAUCAUCGAAUCUUUGAACGCACAUUGCGCCCGCCAGUAUUCUGGCGGGCAUGCCUGUCCGAGCGUCAUUUCAACCCUCGAACCCCUCCGGGGGGUCGGCGUUGGGGAUCGGCCCUUUACCGGCCGGCCCCGAAAUACAGUGGCGGUCUCGCCGCAGCCUCUCCUGCGCAGUAGUUUGCACACUCGCACCGGGAGCGCGGCGCAGUCCAAUGCCGUAAAACACCCAACUUUCUGAAAUGUUGACCUCGGAUCAGGUAGGAAUACCCGUUGAACUUAAGCAUAUCAAUAAGCGGAGGA